AAAAAGUCGAAUCUGAAAAUCACAAAAAACGCAAAAAGUGCGUCACAUGCGUCACAUGCGUCACAAGCGUCACAUGCUUCACAUGCGUCACUAGCUUUACGAGCGUCAAUAAUUAAACUUUCAUAACAAACUGAAAACGAAGAAAAAGAGGAAAUAAAAACCCCGAAAAGUGCGUUACGAGCGUCAUGAGCGUCACAAGCGCCACUUGCUUUACGAAAGUCAUAUACCUCACAAGUCGUACACACUUCAAUGUCUUAUCUGGUGUGUGACUUAUGCUUUUGUGGCGCAAAUUUUAAUUGUGACGCUUGUGACGCUUGUGACGAUUGUGACGCUUGUGACGCAUGUGACGCAUGUGACGCACUUUUUGCGUUUUUUGUGAUUUUUUAUUUUGCUUUUUUACUUUUUGUCGUUUUUUGUAUGAAAGUCCAAUAAAGGACGCACAUAAGACUCGUGACGCUUGUGACGCAUGUGACGCAUGUGACGCAUGUGACGCACUUUUUGCGUUUUUUGUGAAAUUUUAUUUUGCUUUUUUACUUUUUGUCGUUUUUCUUGUAAACCUAAUAAAAGAAGCUAGCGACACAAGCGACGCUUGUGAUGCAUGUGACGCAUGUGACGCAUGUGACGCACUUUUUGCGUUUUUUGUAAAAAUUUAUUUUGCUUUUUUACUUUUUGUCGUUUUUUUG
rnacentral:lncRNA from 1 species